rnacentral:rRNA from 1 species
GAUCAUGGCUCAGGAUGAACGCUGGCGGCGUGCUUAACACCUGCAAGUCGAACGGGAAUUACUUUAUUGAAACUUCGGUCGAUUUAAUUUAAUUCUAGUGGCGGACGGGUGAGUAACGCGUGGGUAACCUGCCUUAUACAGGGGGAUAACAGUCAGAAAUGACUGCUAAUACCGCAUAAGCGCACAGGACCGCAUGGUCUGGUGUGAAAAACUCCGGUGGUAUAAGAUGGACCCGCGUUGGAUUAGCUAGUUGGUGGGG